rnacentral:miRNA from 1 species
GUUUUCACCUUCCUCCCAG